ACAAUAAUUAUAAAAGGGAUUCACAUUUUCAUUUCAGAAAGAAGACCCUGGGACCAAUGUGGAAAUAAGUUGAAAAUGGACUGGAGGUAGAGAUUAUACUUUGGAAUCUGUUUUAAAUCAGCGAGAGAUGGUGAUGGAUGAUCGAUGAAUUGGAUUACGAAGAGGGAUGAAUGAGCAGAAUUUGAUUCAGCUUAGAUGUAGUCAGUGAGGGAGAAGGAAGAAUCAAGUCUGAUUCCUAGUUUCCUCGUCUGGGCAACCAGAUGGAUGGUGAUGCCUUUCAUUGAGAAAUGUGACGUAUGAAGAGGACCGACUCCUUUAUGGGGAGGAGUGGCAGGUGCCGGUGAAACUUCCAGCCAGGUCAUGGAAGCUACCUAAAUGCCCAUCGACAGACGAAUGGAUAAAGAAGAUGUGGUACAUAUAUACAAUGGAAUAUUACUCAGCCAUAAAAAGGAAUGAUAUUGGGUCAUUUGUUGAGACGUGGAUGGAUCUGGAGACUGUCAUACAG